CCGAUUGUCAGUCUGCAUUGUAUCUCCCUGUAAAUUCUUACACGUGCCUAUAUCUCAGAAUGUCACCAUAUCUGCAGACAGGGUUCUUGAAGACACAACUAAAUGAAAAUGGAUGAAAUCAGAAUGGAGCCUAAUCCGAGGUGACUGCUGUCUUUGUGAGAACAGGGAAGGAACACACAGGAAGGCUCCAGGGGUGCGUGUGAGGACAGAGCAAGGAGGUGGCCUGUCUGCCAGCCAAGGAAAAGAAACCAGCCCUGCUGACAACCGGCCCUCAGACUGCCAGCCCAGUGGGAAAACUCAUUCUGUUAUCUAAGCCACUCUGUCUGCAACGAUUGGUUAUGGCGGCCCUAAAAAAUGAGUACAUUUUCCGUCUUUGUACUGUAAAGUUGUUGUUGUUUAAUAGAUUGUCUCUUUUCUUGGGUUUAAGGAAUAUCUUCAAAAAGAGCUUGUUUUAUUGAUGAACUUGGUGUAUUAGGAACCAUCUCGGGAGGCUCUUGGCAAACACAGAAGGGGAUGAAGCAGAUCUCUG
rnacentral:lncRNA from 1 species